rfam:Chlorocebus sabaeus isolate 1994-021 chromosome 20, whole genome shotgun sequence.
GCCAGGCAUGGUGGUGCAUGCCUGUAAUCCCAGCUACUCAGGAGGCCGAGGCAGGAGAAUUGCUUGAACCCGGGAGGCAGAGGUUGCAGUGAGCAGAGAUGGUGCCACUGCACUCCAGCCUGGGUGACAGAGCAAGACUCUUGUCUCAA